UGAAGGCACCAUCGGUGGGGUCCCUGGGUGAGAGUGACAGGAGCAGGGUAUCUUGCCAAGCGGGGGUGGGCACGGAGCAUCAGAAAGAAAUGAGCUGUGUUACUACGCUGAGCCACUGAGGUUUCACGGUUGUUAUCCAUCAUCCAGCCCGUCCUCACUAAUAUACCUGCCUCGCCAGGAAAAGAUAGAAUCCAGCUGAAGCAAGACUUGGCUUGUGCCCAUUCGGACUGUCCGCUCGCUGCUUUGGUGUUGUGUUCAGCUGGGAUCUCCCCAUGAGCUGCAAGCUGUAUGGGCUUGCACAGACCAAGAGGCUUACAGUGGAAAGAGAGGCUGCCUGCAUCUAGAACCUUCUUCCCAUCUCUUUUCAAGAAUACGCCAACAUGACCCCGGUUACCCUGCAGGCCUUGGCUCCACCUACAGAAGUCUGCUACCUACAGAACUCUUUGCGAGAGACAUGGACAUCGCUCUCUUAUUCCAGGCAUCUUUUCCUUAUGUCUAUGUUAAUAUGCCCCACAGACUCCCAGAACUUCCCCACUGAGUUCUGCUCUAGUGGCACGUCAGUGGGUUUCCUGGUUCAACCAGCUUAGCGAGCAGCUGGCUGGGAUACUAGAUGCCAGUCUCCCUCUCCUGCAGGCACCACCAAUUUGUGACUGGCUCUCUGGAAGACAUCCCUCCACCCCUGACUUUAAUCGAAGCAAGAAGAGAGCUACUUUCUUCUUCUACUAGACCACUGGAUUGUGAAUUCCAUAAGGGUAGAACUUUCUCAAUGGCUGCACCCCCAGUGCCUAGAACACUACCUGGAACAGGUACCUAAUAAAUAUUUACUGAAUGAAAGAAGGAUGGUAGGGCUUUUAGUAAACCCUGGAGAGAGAUGUCUGGCCUCAAUUGUUGGUGGCUCUCCUCAAAAUAUGGGGUACUGCAGUCUUCAGCUACGGUCUCUAGUGCUAAUGUGUGGCAACAGGAAAAGUCCCCUUCAACACUAUGGCACACAUCUGUUAACUCCAAAAAAGUAAAAUAAAAUAAAAAAGUGUG